AUUGAACGCUGGCGGCAUGCCUUACACAUGCAAGUCGAACGGCAGCACGGGAGCAAUCCUGGUGGCGAGUGGCGAACGGGUGAGUAAUAUAUCGGAACGUGCCCGGUCGUGGGGAUAACGUAGCGAAAGUUACGCUAAUACCGCAUACGCACUAAGGUGGAAAGUGGGGGAUCUUCGGACCUCAUGCUCAUGGAGUGGCCGAUAUCUGAUUAGCUAGUUGGUGAGGUAAAGGCUCACCAAGGCGACGAUCAGUAGCUGGUUUGAGAGAACGACCAGCCACACUGGAACUGAGACACGGUCCAGACUCCUACGGGAGGCAGCAGUGGGGAAUUUUGGACAAUGGGGGGCGAACCCUGAUCCAGCAAUGCCGCGUGAGUGAAGAAGGCCUUCGGUUGUAAG
rnacentral:rRNA from 1 species